rnacentral:rRNA from 1 species
GACGAACGCUGGCGGCGUGCUUAACACAUGCAAGUCGAACGGAAAGGCCCUGCUUUUGUGGGGUGCUCGAGUGGCGAACGGGUGAGUAACACGUGAGUAACCUGCCCUUGACUUUGGGAUAACUUCAGGAAACUGGGGCUAAUACCGGAUAGGAGCUCCUGCUGCAUGGUGGGGGUUGGAAAGUUUCGGCGGUGGGGGAUGGACUCGCGGCUUAUCAGCUUGUUGGUGGGGUAGUGGCUUACCAAGGCUUUGACGGGUAGCCGGCCUGAGAGGGUGACCGGCCACAUUGGGACUGAGAUACGGCCCAGACUCCUACGGGAGGCAGCAGUGGGGAAUAUUGCACAAUGGGCGGAAGCCUGAUGCAGCAACGCCGCGUGCGGAAUGACGGCCUUCGGGUUGUAAACCGCUUUCGCCUGUGACGAAGCGUGAGUGACGGUAAUGGGUAAAGAAGCACCGGCUAACUACGUG